ACUACGUUAGUAUAUUAGUACGCCUGCCUUCCAAGCGGGAAGUUUGAGGAACAAACCUAGUA
rnacentral:tRNA from 1 species